UACGUAGGGGGCGAGCGUUAUCCGGAUUUAUUGGGCGUAAAGCGUGCGUAGGCGGUUUGUUAAGUCCAGAAUUAAAGCCCGAGGCUUAACCUCGGUUCGUUCUGGAUACUGGCAGGCUUGAGUAUGGUAGAGGCAAAUGGAAUUCCUAGUGUAGCGGUGAAAUGCGUAGAUAUUAGGAGGAACACCAGUGGCGAAGGCGAUUUGCUGGGCCAUCACUGACGCUGAGGUACGAAAGCGUGGGGAGCAAAUAGG
rnacentral:rRNA from 1 species